CCUACGGGUGGCUGCAGUGGGGAAUAUUGCGCAAUGGGCGAAAGCCUGACGCAGCGACGCCGCGUGAGGGAUGAAGGUCUUCGGAUCGUUAACCUCCGUCAGCAGGGAAGAACGGUCACUGUGCUAAUCAGCAGUGAAUUGACGGUACCUGCAAAGGAAGCACCGGCUAACUCCGUGCCAGCAGCCGCGGUAAUACGGAGGGUGCGGGCGUUAAUCGGAAUUACUGGGCGUAAAGGGCUCGUAGGCGGUAUGUCAAGUCAAGGGGGAAAUCCCCGCGCUCAACGUGGGAACUGCCUUUGAAACUGGCAAACUGGAGUGGGCGAGAAGAAAGUGGAAUUCCAGGUGUAGGGGUGAAAUCCGUAGAUAUCUGGAAGAACAUCAGUGGCGAAGGCGACUAUCUGGCACAUGACUGACGCUGAGGAACGAAAGCGUGGGUAGCGAACAGGAUUAGAUACCCGAGUAGUC
rnacentral:rRNA from 1 species